ensembl:lncRNA
CUGAAUGUGGGGGCUUCAUCUUGUGUGUCUUCCCCCAAUCUUGUGUGUUCUCAGUGUAGUCUCCUGUGCCCUCUGUGACCACUAAUCCCUCAAAGCACUAGACUCCUAACAGUGUUUGCCUCAGGGCAGACCCAGCUUCACACAUUAGCUUACCAGGUGAACCCAUCAGUUCACCAGGCGGCUAUUCACGCAUGUGGGUCUCCCCUAUUUUUAGGCAACUUCAGCUAUGCAUUAAACAAUAUGUUGUAAUUGAUUCUGUACCAGGGGUUCUGCAGCAGGGGGACUGAUUUUCAGAGUAGCUGAUGUGCUACACCACUGGAAGCAAAAUCCUCUACUUAACUUUAUGACCUCAUCUCCCUGGACCUUCACUUUCUUCACUUCAUGCCAGCCACACUGGACUAUAACUCAAACACGUAAAAGCUCACAGCUGUCUCAGAGCCUUUUCACCUGUUAUUUGUUUUCUUGAAAAGGCUCUUUUCUUCAGUUCUUCACAUGGUCGCACUUUAUCGCCAUUCAGGUCUUAGCUCAAAUGUUCCACCUCCAGAUUCUUCCCUGGUCACUCUCAGUUAUUAAUACUUUCUCUUAUCUCAGCUAAAUGUUUCUAUGUUGUACUUCCCAGAACCUAAAGUUAUUUUGUUUAUUGAUUUGUUUAUGUUUUAUUCUCUAGAAUGUAACUGUUUAAGGGCAGGGACCCUGUUCUAGAAAAGUGCUUGGCACCGAUGGACACUCUAAAAGUAUUUGUUGAUUGGUUGGGUAAUAUCUCUGUUCUUUAUCUACUGCUGAAAUACCUUCCUAUUCUCUCCUGCAGGCUGGAAACCAUGGCCAUAUUCAUAGUCACAAUAGUUAGCUUAGUAUAGUAAGGUCUCCACUAAAAUGCCAUCCUGUGUGUUCUAACAGGACUGUACCCCCAGGAAGCCACACAAACUGUGUAACCAGACAGUGUAUCUGGGAGGAGACGGAACAAAUUUAUCUACCAACUCCCAUCUCUCAUGGGCCAAAUUCUUCCCCACUGUACAUUAACUCCAUAUUGCUUUCAGAUUGCAUAAGGUGGGUGUUUGGUGGGCUCUUGGGCAUCCUGCUUCUCUGUAGCAACAGGGAAGCCCCAAGACAGGAGGCCAGGUGGGUCAGGUGGAGUCUGCAGAGUGUUAGAUGGAGCCCAGGCAGAACAGGUUGCUAUGGGAGUGCUUGGUACAAGGAGAGUCUGGGAGGAACUGAAGGAGCACAUAAGAGAUUCUCUAUCCAGGUCAGAAUCAGAUGGAGGCACUCAGUAGGUAGUAUAAUUCACCAGAACGUUUCCAUAUGCCUCUGCUGACAGAACAUCAAUGGAAUCUUGAUGUAUCCUGACUUUUCUCCUGAGCAUAAGCCCGUCUCCAUCCCCAGAGAGAUUUUGGGCUGGGUACCAUGGACAAGUGCAUUCUGUCUCCUCUGAAAACUGUAAAGUAGAUAGUAAGUUUUGGUGAUGUUUAGCAAGUGGCUGAGCCUAGAAUUGCAGACAUGUGCUCCGCUCCCUUUAAGAGCCUCUCAGAGCCCCCAUAGAGAUCUCAGAAAAGGGUCGACUCUGACUUUUAAGGACACUCAUCAAGAGAAAGAUAGAAAGCCAAGCUAGGUAUCAUGACUGGUCCCACAGUGACAGAGACAAAUGGCCGUGACACAUUUAUGUAGGCUCACUUUUUCUCUGGGUGAGGAUGAAGCCUCAUUUGGAAGAUUUGCUCAUCUGUCUAAUAAAUCAGUGCAGAAAGUUUCCCUGAUAUUUACUCAGGACUUUCUUUCCCGUCUUCAUUUCAUUCCAUGCCUCUGAUUGCUCAUCCUCGAACCAGGCUACAUAAAUCUCUUCUCUUUCUUCUGCCCCUUUGUCAACCAUUAGCCUGCUCCCCCUCUGUCAUUGUUUCACCAGACUAUAGAUGUAACUCUUCUAAUCUUCCCUGAUAAAUCAGGCUCUCAGAAUCGCUCCUUGUUGCUCCCUCAAACUCCCUAGAGCUGGGAUAUAGGGCUCUGAGGGCCUGGUGCAGACGUUUCUUUUAUAAUGGGCCCUGAAAGGUUGUCAGCUGCAGAUAAUUAGGAUCUCACUUCCCGCCAUCGAGCUGCAUAUAUCUUCCAUGCAAAGAACCCCCAUCACCUUCAAAAGACUUAACACAUGCAGAGGAGAUAUACGAGGGGCUGGCUGACCGGAGGAUGGGGCCAGCUCUUCUGAAGGCCAAAACUCUUCAUGUUUCGUGUGAGAGAGAGGCAUUCUCUCAGGAGAGGAAGCUCGCCCUCCUCACAUUUCUUCAUGGUAAAAGCCUCACGCUGUGUGUCUGGACUGUGCAUCAUGGAGUAGUGAGAAGAAUAUCUUUUUAGCUAAAUUAUUUAAUAAUAGUGCUGUCCCUUUAUGCUCCACCCUAUUCUCUCAGUCUCCCUGUUGAGACAAAGUUUAGUCUUGCACUGAGAGCUCAAGUAUAUUUUGUUUGCUGUCUUUAUUUUCUAACUCUGUUAAUAAUUGGCUCACAUCACUUGUAAACCCAUGAUUCAGGUUUUCUUUUUCUUUUGUUUUUGAGACAGAGUCUCACUCUGUCACCCAGGCUGUAGUGCAGUGGUGUGAUCUCAGCUCAAUGCAACCUCUGCCUCCCAGGCUUAAGCGAUUCUCCUGCCUCAGUCCCCCAAGAAGCUGGGAUUACAGGCGUGUGCCACUACCGCCUGGCUAAUUUUUGUAUUUUUAGUAGAGACAGAGUUUCACCAUGUUGGCCAGGCUGGUCUUGAACUCCUGACCUUGAAUGAUCCACCUGCCUUGGCCUCCCAAAGUACUGGUUUUACAGGUGUUGAGCCACCAUGCCUGGCCCAUGAUUCAGUUUUUCUUUAAUGGUUUCUCAGAACUAACCAGUAUAUAGCUUCAGGAAAACUGGGUGGGCUGUCAAAUGGAUAUGACAUCAGGAUGCAAUGUUGCCCCCAAAGUUAGCCUGGCACAGGGAAAUUCUUCUCAGGCAAGUGAUCCAUGAGACCUCAGGGUUCAGCAUGGUUGGGGUUGGAGAUGAUACCCGGAGGGAGGGAGAAAAGUGGUGGCAUGGGUGGGAGAGUCUCCCUUCACAAGGAGAAGAGCAGUUUUAUUUUUACUCAUAUUAUAUAUUAAGAUUCCAUCUAAGAUUUUAUAUUUUUUAAAAGGAGAAAACAAGCUUGAAAACUGCUAGUGCCAUCACCUUGUAUCU